UUUGUACUCCCUCCGUCCCAUAUUAAGCGACUCAAAUUUGUUCAAAUAUGGAUGUAUAUGUCAUGUCUGCCUAAAACAUCUAGAUACAUGUAAUAGAAAGUCACUUAAUAUGGGACGAAGGGAGUAGUAU
rfam:Brachypodium distachyon strain Bd21 chromosome 3, whole genome shotgun sequence.